AUAAAUGAAUGGUGCAUCUUUGAAAUGACGGCAUCUUAAGAGUCAAUGAACUAUGAUAUGUAUAAUGCACAGUGGAAAGAUUCCAGAUUAGAACCUCCCCAAGGUCAGGGCAUUUACCAAUUCAAAUCAUGGGGCAUGAUAAUAUGGAAGAAGGUGGCCUAAAGCUCUGGUAAUCUCACUGAGCCAGAGAAACAGUACAUCCAGGACUUGAGGAGUUAAGUUCCCAGAGAAAAAGGAACCAAAGAAAAAUACUAUACUGAUGACUCACAUAUGGACUCAAAUUUGGACUGGAACAUCUCCAAAAACUCAACCUCAUGUGUUUGAAUUAUAAAUAUGACAGCUGAAUAUCAAAGCCAACUAACUCUGAAU